rnacentral:rRNA from 1 species
UACGAAGGGGGGCUAGCGUUGUUCGGAAUUAUUGGGCGUAAAGCGCGUGUAGGCGGCUUUGCAAGUCGGGUGUGAAAGCCCUCAGCUCAACUGAGGAAGUGCGCCCGAAACUGCAGAGCUUGAGUACCGGAGAGGAUGGCGGAAUUCCCCAAGUAGAGGUGAAAUUCGUAGAUAUGGGGGAGGAACACCGGUGGCGAAGGCGGCCAUCUGGACGGAUACUGACGCUGAGACGCGAAAAGCGUGGGUAGCAAACAGG